GACGAACGCUGGCGGCGUGCCUAAUACAUGCAAGUUGAGCGCUGAAGGUUGGUACUUGUACCAACUGGAUGAGCAGCGAACGGGUGAGUAACGCGUGGGGAAUCUGCCUUUGAGCGGGGGACAACAUUUGGAAACGAAUGCUAAUACCGCAUAAAAACUUUAAACACAAGUUUUAAGUUUGAAAGAUGCAAUUGCAUCACUCAAAGAUGAACCCGCGUUGUAUUAGCUAGUUGGUGAAGUAAAGGCUCACCAAGGCGAUGAUACAUAGCCGACCUGAGAGGGUGAUCGGCCACAUUGGGACUGAGACACGGCCCAAACUCCUACGGGAGGCAGCAGUAGGGAAUCUUCGGCAAUGGACGAAAGUCUGACCGAGCAACGCCGCGUGAGUGAAGAAGGUUUUCGGAUCGUAAAACUCUGUUGGUAGAGAAGAACGUUGGUGAGAGUGGAAAGCUCAUCAAGUGACGGUAACUACCCAGAAAGGGACGGCUAACUACGUG
rnacentral:rRNA from 1 species